rnacentral:rRNA from 1 species
UACGUAGGGAGCAAGCGUUGUCCGGAAUCAUUGGGCGUAAAGAGCUCGUAGGCGGCCACUCAAGUCGAAUGUGAAACCUCGAGGCUUAACCUCGAGCCUGCAUUCGAUACUGGGCGGCUAGAGUCUGGUAGGGGGAUCUGGAAUUCCUGGUGUAGCGGUGGAAUGCGCAGAUAUCAGGAGGAACACCGGUGGCGAAGGCGGGAUCCUGGGCCAGUACUGACGCUGAGGCGCGAAAGCUGGGGGAGCGAACGGG